AUCUUUCUAGUAUAGGUAAUAUGAGUGACUUCCAAUCACCCGAUCUUGGUUAGAAUCCAAGGAAAGAUA
rnacentral:tRNA from 1 species